rnacentral:tmRNA from 1 species
GGGGCCGUACUGGUUUCGACAAGUUGGUGAAAUCCAACCCGUGAUUCAGGCCGAGAGUGAGUCUCCUCUCGUAAAUCCAAGACUCAAACAAAAAAGUAAAUGCGAACAACAUUGUUCCUUUCGCUCGCAAGGCAGUUGCUGUUGCCUAAAACUUCUCUAUAAGUUUGAGCGGUCUGUGGUUCGACUCCGUUAAGAGCUGCGGACAAAACCCCAACGGAUGCCCUAGCAACCUUUCUCUGGUUGAUUGCUAGUUAAGACUAAACCAGUGCAUCCCGCCACUAGGGAUAAUUAGUGGUCCCCGCCUGGAGGGUAACCCGGGCUAAGCCUGUGAACGAGCGGUAGGCCACUACCCAGCUUGGACAGCAGUUCGAUUCUGCUCGGCUCCAUAA